rnacentral:tRNA from 1 species
CCGGUCGUGACAGAAAUUGUAGCAGAUUUAAGCUCUGCCUAUGAGUUUAAUAACAACUCCGUCCGGU